rnacentral:lncRNA from 1 species
CCAUCUUCAACAUCAAUCUCUCUGACUGUUUCACUCUUUCGCCGAUAAACAAAAACAUCAAAGCAACAAUAUACCAAACAGGCACUUGGAUGACAUUGUAAUGAAGCUAUUAUUCUUAGGGGUAUGGUAUUUAUAUUUUGAGGAUAGGAUGAUGUGGUGGUUAUUAUCUGGUGGCAACUCAAACAAAUGAUUGUUGUUCGGCAUGCUUAGAUAAUACAUUAUGGAUAC